CCUACGGGAGGCAGCAGUGGGGAAUAUUGCGCAAUGGGCGAAAGCCUGACGCAGCGACGCCGCGUGAGGGAUGAAGGUCUUCGGAUCGUAAACCUCUGUCAGCAGGGAAGAACGGUCACUGUGCUAAUCAGCAGUGAAUUGACGGUACCUGCAAAGGAAGCACCGGCUAACUCCGUGCCAGCAGCCGCGGUAAUACGGAGGGUGCGAGCGUUAAUCGGAAUUACUGGGCGUAAAGCGCUCGUAGGCGGUAUGUCAAGUCAAGGGUGAAAUCCCCGCGCUCAACGUGGGAACUGCCUUUGAAACUGGCAGACUGGAGUGUGUGAGAGGAUAGGGGAAUGCCAGGUGUAGGAGUGAAAUCCGUAGAUAUCGGGAGGAACAUCAGUGGCGAAGGCGACUAUCUGGCACAUAACUGACGCUGAGGAGCGAAAGCGUGGGUAGCAAACAGGAUUAGAUACCCCUGUAGUC
rnacentral:rRNA from 1 species